CUGAGGAGGAGGCUCGUCUCGUGGGUGAAGCACACGGUUGUGAGUUUAGAGCACGAUUCCUUUCAGCUAGUUUGCCACCCCUGAGAGAGCUGAAGGUCACACCUGACACAGUCCAUGCAUUCAUCCUGACAGCUCCCCACUUCUGCAGUGAUCAACAGCUGCUGAAAUCCCGGCCGGACGCAGUUAAUGUCACCCGGAUUAUCGCCCGUCCCGCCGAACGACACUCAAGACAACCGUAAAUCUCCCGUCGCCGCGUCCACGUCCAUUAGCUGUAUUUCAUCUCUCACUUAAGACGGCGACUGAAGUGAGUUUGAGGCGUCUGAUGAAAAUGUCACAUGCACACUUGACUGCAGGCCGAGCGCGGGGACGGCGGGACGUCGAGAGAAUUCACAAAAGAUAUUUGUGGAUCCAGACACAGGAUCUCAGAUUUAAGAAGGUCAAGUUGAUCCUCCGGAGCAUCUUCAUGUUUCUGAGGACUGAUGGGUUGUUUAUGUUGUUAUGUUUUGAUAAAAGAUUGCAUCUUUUACAUCCGAAUAACAUGCACAAG